AUAAAGGUGGCAGAUGAAG
rnacentral:tRNA from 1 species